GACAGAGGCCUCAAGCGUUAGGCGGAAUCACUGGGCUUAAAGCGUGUGUAGGCGGAUCGUUAAGUGUCUUGUGAAAUCCCCACGGCUCACCCGUGGAACUGCUGGGCAUACUGGCGAUCUUGAGCCACCUAGGGGCAGUCGGAACAAGUGGUGGAGCGGUGAAAUGCGUAGAUAUCACUUGGAACGCCAAUGGUGAAAACAGACUGCUGGGGGUGUGCUGACGCUGAGAACACGAAAGCCAGGGGAGCAAACGGG
rnacentral:rRNA from 1 species